rnacentral:rRNA from 1 species
UACGUAGGGGGCGAGCGUUGUCCGGAUUUAUUGGGCGUAAAGAGCUCGUAGGCGGUUUGGCAAGUCGGGUGUGAAAACUCCGGGCUCAACUCGGAGACGCCACUCGAUACUGCCAUGACUCGAGUCCGGUAGGGGAGUGCGGAAUUCCUGGUGUAGCGGUGAAAUGCGCAGAUAUCAGGAGGAACACCGAUGGCGAAGGCGGCACUCUGGGCCGGUACUGACGCUGAGGAGCGAAAGCGUGGGGAGCGAACAGG